GGGGUAAUAGAGGGGGACACAGAGACAGAUGGGGUAAUAGAGAGACACCAGGGAAGGGGGGACAACGAGACAGAUGGGUAAUAGAGAGACACAUGGGAUGGGGGGACAAAGAGACAGAGGGGUAAGAGAGAGACACAGGGAGGAGAUGGGGAAGAGAGACAGAGGCAGGCGAGGGGGAAGAGAGACACAGGGAGGAGAGGGGAGAAAGAGACACACAGA